UACAGAGGUCUCAAGCGUUGUUCGGAUUCAUUGGGCGUAAAGGGUGCGUAGGCGGCGCGGUAAGUCGGGCGUGAAAUCUCGGAGCUUAACUCCGAAACUGCAUUCGAUACUGCCGUGCUUGAGGACUGGAGGGGAGACUGGAAUUUACGGUGUAGCGGUGAAAUGCGUAGAUAUCGUAAGGAAGACCAGUGGCGAAGGCGGGUCUCUGGACAGUUCCUGACGCUGAGGCACGAAGGUCAGGGGAGCAAACGGG
rnacentral:rRNA from 1 species